UGAGAAUGUGAGUCCAGUUGCAUGCAAGUUGGUAGAUUCGAUGGUGGAAGAGAAUUUUUCUUACUUCCGUGAGUUUUUCACUGAGAGUAAAGGUGGUCUGGAGAGAAUGUGGAAUUUGAAAGAAGAACUAAAGGGGAGAAUUUUUCUGUACCCACCCUGAAGCAAUCAAACAAAAAAGAUUUUGGAGAAAAGAGAAGGGGAAGAAGAAUGAACAACUGAGAGUUUUUCAGUACUGCUGUGUGCCCUGUGUGAGCUCACUACCAUCUCUAGGAAUUGCAGCAAUGAUAUCCUUAAGGCAUGAAAGUUUAUCCUUUCACCAGAGACUACAAUUAAUAUUUCAAGGCUGAAUUAGAUCUGCUCACCUAAAAUGGAACAGAAGGCCGCAAGGAAAACAUUGUCAGGAGAAGGGUGAUCUCUGCACAAACUGGCUCCCCUUCGCCUUCCACCAAGAGUGGAAGCAGCCUGAGACACCCAGUCUUCUAACCAGCAGAUCAUGAGCCAAAUAAACCUUUUUUCUUGACAAAUUA